UUAAUUUCUGUACUUUCAGUGAGUUUUUUUAGGCAGGUUCUCAUUCAGUUGUCUCACUAAGUUCUCAUUAACUUGUUUAGACUUGCUAUGUCACCCAAGCUGGCCUUGAAGUCUCUGCCAUUCUCCUGCCUCAGACACUCUGGUGUUAAGAUUACAGGCAUGUACUACCACCCUAGCAUGGGACACUUUAUCCUGACUUCUUUGGGGUAGGAAAGUGGCCAUGUAUAUACUGGUCAAGUGAGCUACCACUGGGCUACAUCCUAAUUCCUUUGUUCAUUUGGUUAGACCCUUGCCCAACUUGACCAUAAAACCUGACCACCAUGAGAUGCUCUCGACAGCUAUGGUGAGGCUCAGAUCACAUCCUCCAAACCUGCCCUUCUUCAUCUUGACUCAGCACUAUCACAGUGGUUCACACCGUGGCUUCAACGAUCCUGUUGAUAGCUUCUAAUUAAUGUCACCUCUCAUUAUGGAAUGAAACGCCGUGAGAAGUUUGAUUGUCUGUGGAAUGGAUGGAAGAGAGACAAGGAUUUCUUCCCAGGAUGGAGAUGGUGCAGAUGGGGAAACAGGACAAGAGAGACAUUAUCAUACCUGCUUGUACCGGCAUCCAGAAAGGGACAGGACCAGGGUUGGAGGCCAAGCUGCUGCUGUUCCGUGGUGUGGGCUUUGCCAUAUGUGGACAGUGGCCAAAAUAUUGCUAGGAAGACAUGGAACAAAUGAGCGGUCACAAGUCAACGAAGAUGCUACAUACUUGAGUCACAGAACACAGAGGAGUCAAGCUGGUGCGGACUUUGGAAGCUCCCUUUCUACUGGCUGCUUUCACGGUGCUGAAAGUCACUAUGCAUGCUGCUGUAGGAGAAAAGUGACCAUCAGUUCUAUCCAACUGUGAACCCACGAGCCACAGUAACGACUGCUCUGGCAAGACAAACCCCGGAUGCAAUAAUGGCACAAACAUCAUGAGAAAAAUGGCCCCCACCCCACGGUGCUCGCAAGGAGGAGGAACUGAGUUGCCCUGGACAGACACAGGCAGGGACGCUGGGAAGGGACAGGAGAGAAGAGGAUGUGCUUUGUACCAGGUGGUGUUUUUGACCUGCAUCUGAACAUCAGUAUGGUCAAUCUUCCCGUGUCAAGUCAACCGGAUUAAGGGGUGGCCAUGUGCUGGUAAAGUAUUAUUUGGUGGUAUUGUUGAAGGUGUUCUCAAAGAGAUGAGCAUUUUGACCCGUAGAGUGAGUAAGGAACAUCAGCCCUCACCAAUGUAAAUGGGGGUCACUCAGUCCCAAGGACUUGGCAGAGAAGAGGGUGGAGGACUGAGUCAGUUCUCUCCAGCGGGGCAUUUGUCUUUACCCCCACUAGAACU